rnacentral:rRNA from 1 species
CGGAAUUACUGGGCGUAAAGCGCACGCAGGCGGUUUGUUAAGUCAGAUGUGAAAUCCCCGAGCUUAACUUGGGAACUGCAUUUGAAACUGGCAAGCUAGAGUCUUGUAGAGGGGGGUAGAAUUCCAGGUGUAGCGGUGAAAUGCGUAGAGAUCUGGAGGAAUACCGGUGGCGAAGGCGGCCCCCUGGACAAAGACUGACGCUCAGGUGCGAAAGCGUGGGGAGCAAACAGGACUAGAUACCCUGGUAGUCCACGCUGUAAACGAUGUCGACUUGGAGGUUGUGCCCUUGAGGCGUGGCUUCCGGAGCUAACGCGUUAAGUCGACCGCCUGGGGAGUACGGCCGCAAGGUUAAAACUCAAAUGAAU